rnacentral:lncRNA from 1 species
AUUCAAUUAGUUUGAUUGGGAACUCAUAAUUGAAUGCACUUAAUUACUAAUGGGUCAGCCAAAAUUACAAAGAAGGACCAAGACCACUAAACGGGCUCGACCCAUUACUUGACCUAUUAUUAUUACAUUUAAUAUAAUUAUGUGCCCUGUGUAUUUUGACGCAACGCACGGUUUUCGAGGCAAUAUUAUUGAGACUUGGCUGCGCCUUUUUUCGUCCUUGGCUCUUACUUAGUGGCUACCUCUGUCUUCUUCCUCUUUGUGACCGCCUCCUCUGCUCUUUACCAUCAGCUCUUUUUCGGCACUUGGGCUGGACUGUGCCUUUGUCCCCCCGUUGUUGCUCCGUUUCGCCCGUGUUCGACCACUUCUGUGCGUGGUCUUUUUGGCUGGGUUUUUGGUAUUCAUUUGUGGUCCAUUUGAGUGAGUACUCUUGGUCCAAUUUUUGUGGUGUUGUCGUGUGAUUUUCGGCUCUUGAUCUGAGUCUCGAUCCAUCCACUUUCGGUGCUAGUCGGAGCUUGAUGGGGAAGUUUUACUCUUGAUUUACUUUGAUUAAUUUCCAUUAUCUUUUAAUAGUUAACUAACUUUGUGUGGUUAAUUGAUUGAUAGAUAUUUUUGUCACUACACAAGGAACUUUCUGUACACCGAGAACAAUAUUUGUUCAUGUGUCAUUUUAUGGGCUCCUCUUACCCUUGAUGGAAUUGUUGUUGGUCUUCUUCACCCUAAAUCUAGUGGAUAAGCUUCUAUUAAUCGAGCAUUACAUAUCAAAAAUUUAAAUUGCGAUUAAUCAAAUUAGACUUUUGUUUGAUGAAAUUUUGUUCAUACAUUUUGUUGGUGACUCUUACGCUUGAUGGAAUUUUGUUCAUACAUUCUAAAGCAAUAAACAAGGAGGAGCUUGGAACCACAUUAGGCUUUUCCCCAAUUAUCAAGUAUACUGAGCACAAAGAUUAGGUAGUUGCAAGGUCGUUCUUUUGCAACUAUUAUCACAAUGCACCUCGACUGCUGUUGGUGCUAGGCUUGGGCACAGUUCGGAUGGGUUGGGUUGGGCUUAAGCUCAACCCGAAAUCAAAACCAACUUGAUCUAUUUGGGUAAAUUCCAAUUCAAACUGACCACAUCCAGUCGUUGAAACCGAAUUAAACCAAAUUGAGGUCGAGUUGGUUUGGUUUGUCGAUUUGAACAUUUGUCUGAGUUAAAAAACUUUGCCUAUCUAUUCUGGAUAAAAAAUUUGUUUGCCUAUAUAUAAAAUUUUGUUGACUUGC